CGGCGGCGCCGAGUAGGACCGCUCCAAACUUAAGCACCUAGUGCAUCCAACCCCCGCGUUGAACAACUAUCGAAAAUCUGCUUUUGCUUUUUUUCUUUACGCUAAAACGUCUUUCCCGGUUGGAAUUAUUGCUCGAGAUACCUUAAAAGACUGAUCGUAGGCACUGUAGGAUGCGUGAAAUGUGUGAAAUGUCCCUCUCGUAGUGUCUUUUCCACUUCGCUCAAACGUGUUUCCCGGUUGGAAUUUUUGCUCGAAAUAAUAAUUUCCUUACCCUGUAGUCGUUUGUUUUCAAGCUCUAAUACCUGCUCGAAUAAAACUGCUUCAAUAUUUGCUCGGAAAUUGUUCAAAGCUCUGAGGGGUCUGAAUGAAUUCAUAAAAUUGGCAAAAGCCACCUAUAAACUACGGUUUUAGGGGGUGAUCAAACCAAGGUUUAAAAACCAAAUACGUUAAAACUUUCAACAACGGAUCUCUUGGUUCUGGCAUCGAUGAAGAACGCAGCGAAAUGCGAUAAGUAAUGUGAAUUGCAGAAUUCAGUGAAUCAUCGAAUCUUUGAACGCACAUUGCGCCCAUUAGUAUUCUAGUGGGCAUGCCUAUUCGAGCGUCAUUACAACCCUUAAGCCUUGUAGCUUAGCGUUGGGAAUCUACCCCUCACUGAGGGGUAGUUCCUUAAAUUUAGUGGCGGAGUUAUAGCACACUCUAAGCGUAGUAGUUUAACUCGCUUUCAGGGAGGCUGUAGCUGCUUGCCGUUAAAACCCCCUAUAACUUAGUGUUAACCUCGGAUUAGGUAGGAAUACCCGC
rnacentral:rRNA from 1 species